UUCGUCAGUAGUGCAUGUGGCACCGCCGUGUUACGAGCUGUUUGUGGUGGAGUUCGCAGCAGCCUGCUAACAAAAGCUCCAUCGACGUUAUUUGGGAGACUGCGCCAGGUCCCGGUCCGGCAUCUGAUCUGCAGAAUCUAUUGCGGCACCGUCACCAGCUUCUUCGUCCUCGAACCUAUCUUCGAUCUCUUCCUCACCCUCGUCGAGCUCAGUUUCUGUAUUUGCUGCGAUGACAUCUCAUAUGAAGACACGCAAUCGUCCUGGGCGCCCACCGCUGGCACCGCGUGGUCCUGGGCGCCCACCGCUGGCACCGCGUGGUCCUGGGCGCCCACCGCUGGCACCGCGU